CGGAUUGUAGGCUGAAACUCGCCUACAUGAAGCUGGAGUUACUAGUAAUCGCAGAUCAGAAUGCUGCGGUGAAUGCGUUCCCGGGUCUUGUACACACCGCCCGUCACACCACGGGAGUUGGAGACGCACGAAGCCGAUUAUCUAACCUUUUGGAAGAAGUCGUCGAAGGUGGAAUCAAUAACUGGGGUGAAGUCGUAACAAGGUAGCCGUAUCGGAAGGUGCGGCUGGAUCACCUCCUUUCUAAGGAGA
rnacentral:rRNA from 1 species